AGGAUGAGACUAUAUAGUAUCAGCUAGUUGGUAAGGUAAAGGCUUACCAAGGCUAUGACGCUUAACUGGUCUGAGAGGAUGAUCAGUCACACUGGAACUGAGACACGGUCCAGACUCCUACGGGAGGCAGCAGUAGGGAAUAUUGCGCAAUGGGGGAAACCCUGACGCAGCAACGCCGCGUGGAGGAUGACACUUUUCGGAGCGUAAACUCCUUUUCUUAGGGAAGAAUUCUGACGGUACCUAAGGAAUAAGCACCGGCUAACUCCGUGCCAGCAGCCGCGGUAAUACGGAGGGUGCAAGCGUUACUCGGAAUCACUGGGCGUAAAGGGCGCGUAGGCGGAUUAUCAAGUCUCUUGUGAAAUCUAAUGGCUUAACCAUUAAACUGCUUGGGAAACUGAUAGUCUAGAGUGAGGGAGAGGCAGAUGGAAUUGGUGGUGUAGGGGUAAAAUCCGUAGAUAUCACCAAGAAUACCCAUUGCGAAGGCGAUCUGCUGGAACUCAACUGACGCUAAGGCGCGAAAGCGUGGGGAGCAAACAGGAUUAGAUACCCUGGUAGUCCACGCCCUAAACGAUGUACACUAGUUGUUGGGGUGCUAGUCAUCUCAGUAAUGCAGCUAACGCAUUAAGUGUACCGCCUGGGGAGUACGGUCGCAAGAUUAAAACUCAAAGGAAUAGACGGGGACCCGCACAAGCGGUGGAGCAUGUGGUUUAAUUCGAAGAUACGCGAAGAACCUUACCUGGGCUUGAUAUCCUAAGAACCUUAUAGAGAUAUGAGGGUGCUAGCUUGCUAGAACUUAGAGACAGGUGCUGCACGGCUGUCGUCAGCUCGUGUCGUGAGAUGUUGGGUUAAGUCCCGCAACGAGCGCAACCCACGUAUUUAGUUGCUAACGGUUCGGCCGAGCACUCUAAAUAGACUGCCUUCGUAAGGAGGAGGAAGGUGUGGACGACGUCAAGUCAUCAUGGCCCUUAUGCCCAGGGCGACACACGUGCUACAAUGGCAUAUACAAUGAGACGCAAUACCGCGAGGUGGAGCAAAUCUAUAAAAUAUGUCCCAGUUCGGAUUGUUCUCUGCAACUCGAGAGCAUGAAGCCGGAAUCGCUAGUAAUCGUAGAUCAGCCAUGCUACGGUGAAUACGUUCCCGGGUCUUGUACUCACCGCCCGUCACACCAUGGGAGUUGAUUUCACUCGAAGCCGGAAUACUAAACUAGUUACCGUCCACAGUGGAAUCAGCGACUGGGGUGAAGUCGUAACAAGGUAACCGUAGGAGAACCUGCGGUUGGAUCACCUCCUUUCUA
rnacentral:rRNA from 1 species